UACGUAGGUGGCAAGCGUUGUCCGGAUUUAUUGGGUUUAAAGGGUGCGUAGGCGGCCCAUUAAGUCAGUGCUGAAAUAUCCCGGCUUAACCGGGAGGGUGGCAUUGAUACUGAUGGGCUUGAGUGGAGUCGAGGUAGGCGGAAUUGACGGUGUAGCGGUGAAAUGCGUAGAUAUCAGGAGGAACACCUGUGGUGUAGACGGCUUACUGGACCAUGACUGACGCUGAGGCACGAAAGCGUGGGGAGCAAACAGG
rnacentral:rRNA from 1 species